rnacentral:rRNA from 1 species
AAAAUCUCAACUUUAUUAGAAGAGACGCAUUUAUUAGAUAAAAAGCCAGUUCAUGCUUUUAUAGUAUGAAAAUUGGUGAUUUAUAAUAACUUAGCAAAUCGCAAAGUGAAAACAGGCGAUAAAUCAUUCAAGUUUCUGACCUAUCAGCUUUCGACGGUAUGGUAUUGGCUUACCGUGGCAGUGACGGUUAACGGGGGAUUAGGGUUCGAUUCCGGAGAGGGAGCCUGAGAAACGGCUACCACAUCUAAGGAAUGCAGCAGGCGCGCAAAUUACCCAAUUCUAACAGUUUGAGAGAGGUAGUAACAAGAAAUAACAAUACAAGGCAGUUAAGAUGCUUUGUAAUUGGAAUGAUAGAAAUUUAAACCCUUUUUAAAGUAUCAAUUGGAGGGCAAGUCUGGUGCCAGCAGCCGCGGUAAUUCCAGCUCCAAUAGCGUAUAUUAAAAUUGUUGCAGUUAAAAAGCUCGUAGUUGAAGUUCUGCUGAAAGUAACCGGUCUGCUUUUAAUAAAAGUGGUAUCUUGGUAUGUAUUUAGCAAUGAUGUCCUUUGAAGUGUUUUUUACUUUAUUGUAAUAAAGCAUAUUCAGGACUUUUACUUUGAGAAAAUUAGAGUGUUUCCAGCAGGCUAACGCUUUGAAUACUGCAGCAUGGAAUAAUAAG